CCUUACGGCUCAGUAACACGUGGAUAACCUGCCCUUGGGUCCGGCAUAACCCCGGGAAACUGGGGAUAAUUCCGGAUAACGCAUAUAUGCUGGAAUGCUUUAUGCGUCAAAUGGAUUCGUCUGCCCAAGGAUGGGUCUGCGGCCUAUCAGGUAGUAGUGGGUGUAAUGUACCUACUAGCCAACAACGGGUACGGGUUGUGAGAGCAAGAGCCCGGAGAUGGAUUCUGAGACAUGAAUCCAGGCCCUACGGGGCGCAGCAGGCGCGAAAACUUUACAAUGCGGGAAACCGUGAUAAGGGGACACCGAGUGCUAGCAUCAUAUGCUGGCUGUCCAGGUGUGUAAACUACACCUGUUAGCAAGGGCCGGGCAAGACCGGUGCCAGCCGCCGCGGUAACACCGGCGGCCCGAGUGGUGAUCGUGAUUAUUGGGUCUAAAGGGUCCGUAGCCGGUUUGGUCAGUCUUCCGGGAAAUCUGAUAGCUCAACUAUUAGGCUUUCGGGGGAUACUGCCAGGCUUGGAACCGGGAGAGGUAAGAGGUACUACAGGGGUAGGAGUGAAAUCUUGUAAUCCCUGUGGGACCACCUGUGGCGAAGGCGUCUUACCAGAACGGGUUCGACGGUGAGGGACGAAAGCUGGGGGCACGAACCGGAUUAGAUACCCGGGUAGUCCCAGCCGUAAACGAUGCUCGCUAGGUGUCAGGCAUGGCGCGACCGUGUCUGGUGCCGCAGGGAAGCCGUGAAGCGAGCCACCUGGGAAGUACGGCCGCAAGGCUGAAACUUAAAGGAAUUGGCGGGGGAGCAC
rnacentral:rRNA from 1 species